rnacentral:lncRNA from 1 species
UAGAAGGCCAAGGGACAGCCCCCCAUCAACACAAUAGAUUGAAGUGGCACCACUGCCUUUUCUGGUGCCGAAGACUCCUUCCUCAGGGCACUGCCCGGUCUCGAGGAACCCCCAGGUAUGAGCUGGGCAAGAACGGCCUCAACUCGAUCACGUUUGGAAGCAGGGGCCACACCUAUCUUUCUUUCUUGAAAGCCCGACAAACAGCCUCC